rnacentral:lncRNA from 1 species
CAAAAACCAAUAGAGAGCAUUCACAUUAUUACAUAUCAUGUUAUGCGGCAAAAAGGCACAAAAACUAGUAUAUAUAUAGAAGAGAGAUUAAACAUGCAUAGAAACGAAAAUUCAUUCUAGUUAUUAUCAUGGUUGAUUCCUUUGCUCGGCCCGGAUGGAGGGACUAUAUCCUCAGGAAGCAUGGCUUUCACUGGUAGCUCAUACACCAUUCCCACCUCGAUCUUGUCAACCUUAAAAUCUGUCUUCUCAUUCAAUGGCCUGCCUAAGGAAAGUUCGCAGAUCAUUAAACAAAUGAAAAAGAGUGUGACGAAUUGAUAAAGCCUGUUUUGUUUGUCCAUUUGAUGUAUUUGAAAGAUCUUGAAAUGGUGUUUUGGGAGAGAAUUCGAAAUCCGAAAAAGGGUCUGCGGUUUCUGGGCAAGAAAGUGAAAGAAAUUAGUGGAA